rnacentral:lncRNA from 1 species
GAAAGCUGGCUCGGGCACCAUGGUUAUUAGAAAAAGUGAUUAGACUAGACAUAAUGCAGCUUGAUUUUAUUUUAGCUAGAAUUACUUGGUUCCUUGCCUUGUUGGACAGAGUUACUUGAUAUCUGUUGGUGGUGGUGCUGGUGGGAGGUGUCAGGUGUCGCGUGGAUUUAGUCGAGGUGCGCGAAAGCCGGCUCGAGCACCAUGGUUAUUAGGAAAAGUGAUUAGACAAGACAUAAUGCAGCUUGAUCUUAUUUUAGCUAGAAUUACUUGGUUCGUAGCCUUGGUGGACAGAGUUACUUGAUAUCUGUUGAUGGUGGGAGGUGUCAGGUGUCGCAUGGAUUUAGUCGAGGUGCGCAAAAGCUGGCUCGGGCACCAUGGUUAUUAGAAAAAGUGAUUAGACUAGACAUAAUGCAGCUUGAUUUUAUUUUAGCUAGAAUUACUUGGUUCCUUGCCUUGUUGGACAGAGUUACUUGAUAUCUGUUGGUGGUGGUGCUGGUGGGAGGUGUCAGGUGUCGCGUGGAUUUAGUCGAGGUGCGCGAAAGCUGGCUCGAGCACCAUGGUUAUUAGGAAAAGUGAUUAGACAUGACAUAAUGCAGCUUGAUCUUAUUUUAGCUAGAAUUACUUGGUUCGGAGCCUUGGUGGACAGAGUUACUUCGUAUCUGUUGUUGCUGGUGUUGGUGGGAGCAGCUUGAUCUUAUUUUAGCUAGAAUUACUUGGUUCGGAGCCUUGGUGGACAGAGUUACUUCGUAUCUGUUGUUGCUGGUGUUGGUGGGAGCAGCUUGAUCUUAUUUUAGCUAGAAUUACUUGGUUCGGAGCCUUGGUGGACAGAGUUACUUCGUAUCUGUUGUUGCUGGUGUUGGUGGGAGCAGCUUGAUCUUAUUUUAGCUAGAAUUACUUGGUUCGGAGCCUUGGUGGACAGAGUUACUUCGUAUCUGUUGUUGCUGGUGUUGGUGGGAGCAGCUUGAUCUUAUUUUAGCUAGAAUUACUUGGUUCGGAGCCUUGGUGGACAGAGUUACUUCGUAUCUGUUGUUGCUGGUGUUGGUGGGAGCAGCUUGAUCUUAUUUUAGCUAGAAUUACUUGGUUCGGAGCCUUGGUGGACAGAGUUACUUCGUAUCUGUUGUUGCUGGUGUUGGUGGGAGCAGCUUGAUCUUAUUUUAGCUAGAAUUACUUGGUUCGGAGCCUUGGUGGACAGAGUUACUUCGUAUCUGUUGUUGCUGGUGUUGGUGGGAGCAGCUUGAUCUUAUUUUAGCUAGAAUUACUUGGUUCGGAGCCUUGGUGGACAGAGUUACUUCGUAUCUGUUGUUGCUGGUGUUGGUGGGAGCAGCUUGAUCUUAUUUUAGCUAGAAUUACUUGGUUCGGAGCCUUGGUGGACAGAGUUACUUCGUAUCUGUUGUUGCUGGUGUUGGUGGGAGCAGCUUGAUCUUAUUUUAGCUAGAAUUACUUGGUUCGGAGCCUUGGUGGACAGAGUUACUUCGUAUCUGUUGUUGCUGGUGUUGGUGGGAGCAGCUUGAUCUUAUUUUAGCUAGAAUUACUUGGUUCGGAGCCUUGGUGGACAGAGUUACUUCGUAUCUGUUGUUGCUGGUGUUGGUGGGAGCAGCUUGAUCUUAUUUUAGCUAGAAUUACUUGGUUCGGAGCCUUGGUGGACAGAGUUACUUCGUAUCUGUUGUUGCUGGUGUUGGUGGGAGCAGCUUGAUCUUAUUUUAGCUAGAAUUACUUGGUUCGGAGCCUUGGUGGACAGAGUUACUUCGUAUCUGUUGUUGCUGGUGUUGGUGGGAGCAGCUUGAUCUUAUUUUAGCUAGAAUUACUUGGUUCGGAGCCUUGGUGGACAGAGUUACUUCGUAUCUGUUGUUGCUGGUGUUGGUGGGAGCAGCUUGAUCUUAUUUUAGCUAGAAUUACUUGGUUCGGAGCCUUGGUGGACAGAGUUACUUCGUAUCUGUUGUUGCUGGUGUUGGUGGGAGCAGCUUGAUCUUAUUUUAGCUAGAAUUACUUGGUUCGGAGCCUUGGUGGACAGAGUUACUUCGUAUCUGUUGUUGCUGGUGUUGGUGGGAGCAGCUUGAUCUUAUUUUAGCUAGAAUUACUUGGUUCGGAGCCUUGGUGGACAGAGUUACUUCGUAUCUGUUGUUGCUGGUGUUGGUGGGAGCAGCUUGAUCUUAUUUUAGCUAGAAUUACUUGGUUCGGAGCCUUGGUGGACAGAGUUACUUCGUAUCUGUUGUUGCUGGUGUUGGUGGGAGCAGCUUGAUCUUAUUUUAGCUAGAAUUACUUGGUUCGGAGCCUUGGUGGACAGAGUUACUUCGUAUCUGUUGUUGCUGGUGUUGGUGGGAGCAGCUUGAUCUUAUUUUAGCUAGAAUUACUUGGUUCGGAGCCUUGGUGGACAGAGUUACUUCGUAUCUGUUGUUGCUGGUGUUGGUGGGAGCAGCUUGAUCUUAUUUUAGCUAGAAUUACUUGGUUCGGAGCCUUGGUGGACAGAGUUACUUCGUAUCUGUUGUUGCUGGUGUUGGUGGGAGCAGCUUGAUCUUAUUUUAGCUAGAAUUACUUGGUUCGGAGCCUUGGUGGACAGAGUUACUUCGUAUCUGUUGUUGCUGGUGUUGGUGGGAGCAGCUUGAUCUUAUUUUAGCUAGAAUUACUUGGUUCGGAGCCUUGGUGGACAGAGUUACUUCGUAUCUGUUGUUGCUGGUGUUGGUGGGAGCAGCUUGAUCUUAUUUUAGCUAGAAUUACUUGGUUCGGAGCCUUGGUGGACAGAGUUACUUCGUAUCUGUUGUUGCUGGUGUUGGUGGGAGCAGCUUGAUCUUAUUUUAGCUAGAAUUACUUGGUUCGGAGCCUUGGUGGACAGAGUUACUUCGUAUCUGUUGUUGCUGGUGUUGGUGGGAGCAGCUUGAUCUUAUUUUAGCUAGAAUUACUUGGUUCGGAGCCUUGGUGGACAGAGUUACUUCGUAUCUGUUGUUGCUGGUGUUGGUGGGAGCAGCUUGAUCUUAUUUUAGCUAGAAUUACUUGGUUCGGAGCCUUGGUGGACAGAGUUACUUCGUAUCUGUUGUUGCUGGUGUUGGUGGGAGCAGCUUGAUCUUAUUUUAGCUAGAAUUACUUGGUUCGGAGCCUUGGUGGACAGAGUUACUUCGUAUCUGUUGUUGCUGGUGUUGGUGGGAGCAGCUUGAUCUUAUUUUAGCUAGAAUUACUUGGUUCGGAGCCUUGGUGGACAGAGUUACUUCGUAUCUGUUGUUGCUGGUGUUGGUGGGAGCAGCUUGAUCUUAUUUUAGCUAGAAUUACUUGGUUCGUAACCUUGGUGGACAGAGUUACUUCGUAUCUGUUGUUGCUGGUGUUGGUGGGAGGUGAUAGGUAUCGCGUGGAUUUAGUCAGCUACGCGAAAGCUGGCUCGGCCACCUUGGUUAUUAGAAAAGUGAUUAGACAAGACAUAAUGCAGCUUGAUCUUAUUUUAGCUAGAACUACUUGGUUCCUUACCUUGGUGGACAGAGUUACUUGAUAUCUGAUGUUGGUGGUGUUGGUGGGAGGUGUCAGGUGUCGCAUGGAUUUAGUUGAGGUGCGCGAAAGCUGGCUCGGCCACCUUGGUUAUUAGAAAAGUGAUUAAACAAGACAUAAUGCUGCUUGAUCUUAUUGAGGACAUGAUGUUAAAUAGGAGAGUUUAGAGGUUGUGGAUUAGUGUAGUAUGUUUAGUUGGUAGUGGAGCAUUCUCUUGCUCCUUGUCUGAUAGGCUUGAUGGGCAUACUUGGACCUUCAUUCUUACCAGUAGUAUUAGCAUUAUUCUCGCAGUUUCUUGUUCAUCGUUGUUGUUACUGUUACUGUUCUUUCUCUGGUUAGUUGUGUAAUAAUCUCCACUUCGUAUUACUUUGUUGUUUUUGUUGUUGUUGCUCCCAUAUUUGUAUCCCCGUUAGCAAACUAUUUGGCAGGUGUUAUUUAAGCUGAGGGUCUAUCCGAAACUACCUUUCUAUCUAUAUGAGGUAAGGGUAAGGUCUGCAUACACUCUAUCCUCCCUAGAUCCCUCUACACUGGGUAUGUUGUUGUUGUACUUGUUAAAUGUUCUUGUCCAACAUUAAGCUGCUAAAUACUCUCUUCUACCAUAAAAGAAUAAUGGGGUUCCAGAGUACGAGG